GUGCUCACUUCUGUAGUACAUAUACUAAAAAUUGGAACAGUACAGAGAUUAGCAUGGCCCCUGCACAAAGAUGAUACGCAAAUUAAUGAAGCAUUCCACAUUAAA